UACGUAGGAGGCAAGCGUUGUCCGGAGUUACUGGGCGUAAAGCGCACGUAGGCGGCUUUGUAAGUAAGAGGUGAAAGCCCAGAGCUCAACUCUGGAAUUGCCUUUUAGACUGCAUCGCUUGAAUCAUGGAGAGGUCAGUGGAAUUCCGAGUGUAGAGGUGAAAUUCGUAGAUAUUCGCAAGAACACCAGUGGCGAAGGCGGCUCACUGGCCCGAUACUGACGCUGAGGCACGAAAGCGUGGGGAGCAAACAGG
rnacentral:rRNA from 1 species